rnacentral:rRNA from 1 species
GCCUUCCGAGUUCCCUGGAACGGGACGCCAUAGAGGGUGAGAGCCCCGUCCGGUCGUGCGCCUAGCCUCUGUAAAGCUCCUUCGACGAGUCGAGUAGUUUGGGAAUGCUGCUCUAAAUGGGAGGUAUACGUCUUCUAAAGCUAAAUACCGGCCAGAGACCGAUAGCGCACAAGUAGAGUGAUCGAAAGAUGAAAAGCACUUUGAAAAGAGGGUUAAAUAGUACGUGAAAUUGCUGAAAGGGAAGCGCUUAUGACCAGACUUGGGCGCGGCGGAUCAUCCGGCGUUCUCGCCGGUGCACUCCACCGCCCCAGGCCAGCAUCAGUUCGCGCCGGGGGACAAAGGCUUCGGGAAUGUGGCUCCCUCGGGAGUGUUAUAGCCCGUUGCGUAAUACCCUGGUGCGGACUGAGGUCCGCGCUCUGCAAGGAUGCUGGCGUAAUGGUCAUCAGUGACCCGUCUUGAAACACGGACCAAGGAGUCGUCUUCGUAUGCGAGUGUUCGGGUGUCAAACCCCUACGCGGAAUGAAAGUGAACGUAGGAGAGAGCUUCGGCGCAU